rnacentral:lncRNA from 10 species
CGCCCCUCCUGCUCCCGGCUUUCAUGUGGAUCAAGGCUGGAGGAUGACAAGCUCCUGACUGAUAGAUACAUGGAGACUUCGCUGGUGAUUUAUUGGCUUUCUGCACCUGACGAGAACCACUAGGCCUAUCUGAGGAGGGAAAUAUAUGGGCUUUCCUGACUCCAAGUGGCAGCCCCGGGGCGAGCAUGUGAUGUCAAGCUGGGCAGAGGAAAGCGGAGCUGUGCACCGGCCUGUGUACUGUAAGCCGGCCCGGGUCGUAAAAGUGUCAGCACGCGAUAUAUUUCUUGCAGGGGAUCCUCUCUGGCUCUUGCCAGCGCCUCUCCCCCGUGGCUGGCAGCCGCCCUAGCCGGGCCUGCAAACAGCGGAUGCCCCAGGUCGCUAUCCCUCCGCCCUGCCCCGGAGCGCCGGGCCCUCACGUUCUCGCUCCAGCCUGGGGUCUCUCACGUGGCAUCUGGCCCUGGGGACGGUGCAGCGGAGGAGUUAAUUGCUGUCACUCCUGACUUCAGCGAAAGAGGUCGAUCGUGGGGCUUCUUCCUCGGGGUUAGCAGGGGCCUGGAGUGGAUGUUUAGUCUACCGGUCAGACUCCAGGUCUUAUAUCUUGAAACUGUAAGUCCCUGAAUUCACAGACAAUUCAGAGUAAGGAUGGAGGCAAAGAAGAGGACCUUGGGUUUACUGUUCACGAGAUGACCUCAUAAAGGUGUUCAGUGAUGAAGAGGAGUGGCUGAAGAGGUAAGGAGAACACUCAAAGCAACAACAGCAAAACGUACAGUAUGAAGGGGGUAGUCAUAAGGUCAGUCCAUAACCCUGCCAGCAUCAUCCAGAUAGAAGUGGAUCUGCUAUCCCUCCCCACACCUGACUUCACUACCUGCACACCCACAAGCAGGGCAGCACUAGCCCCCAGUGCUCUUCUGUGCAUAUUAGAGUCUUCCCUGGAGGGCUCAGUACCUUGCUGGGACUCAUGGCAUGGGGAGCAGAACCCAGGCUGAAUUUCAGUCCCUACAAGGUUUUAAGUACAGGGAUCAGCCUGCACAACCGAAUGGGAGGCCCGGCCCUCAUCUGCCCUUCUGUAACUUGUCUUUCCCUGCCAGGCCUCCCUCGGAGCUCAUUGUUGAAAUCUGGCAUCCAGAGCUAUGGAUUCCCCGCUCUGCCAUUUACAAACUGUAUGAUUAGGGCUCAUCAGUUCAUCUCUCUGAGUUACUUUCUUUUCUGAAAUGGAGGUAGGGCUACUUCUCUCACAUGGCUUUAUGAGGGUGAAGUGGUUUCCAAUGAGCACUCAUCUGGAUAUUCUAGGCCCAUCCACUCACAUAGCUAAUGACACUCCUUCUUUACAAGAUGAAGGAUUAGGAGAUGAUUUUAAAUCUUUUAGCUGGAAGGGCCUUUAAGAGAUACCUGUGUCUGUCUUGGGCCUUAGAGUGAGUAAAGGGACAGCAGGUGGUCAGGCCCUGCCAACAGCAGGAUAUUUUCUGCAGGUGCCCAACAGCAGCCCUGGAGUUGCCUCAGAUCCUCCCACUGGAGGCUUCAUUGCUGUAUCUGCCAUUCCAUCCCUGGCAGGGAUAGGCCAAGGUCUUAGAUACCCUGGCACCCAACACUCCAUACAGGCUUGUCUCUGAGCAGACUCUCGGUGAAGGCUAUUGUGCUAGUCUGAGCAGAACGGGAGGUGCAGGGAUUGCAGCUGUUCCUUCACUGCAGUGUCAGUUUGGAAAUUUUCCCAGAAGACUUAGCUGGUGCCUCUUCUUUGAUAUUCAUGAGUGUGUGAACACAACGACCCUCCUCAUCUUUGUCGAACCCAUUCCUCUUGGACCACACCAAGUAUAGUCCAAAAAGAAGGUGAUUUAGGAGAAGUGUGAAGGCACCCUCAGUUCUGGCAAAUUCUUGGGUAUCCUGCAAUUCUCACUCAGCAGCAUCCCAACAAAACCAGAGAAAAGACCCGGGGCCGGGAGAUGAGCCAGGAAAAUAGCUUCAUGUUUGACUUGAGGGUACAGGCAUCUGCAGAAGCCAGCCUGGAAGACUCUUCAUGAGCCCAGCUGCAAGGGGCAUCCUAGAGCCAGUUCAUGAGCCCAACUUUACAGAGGCAUCAAGCUUCCCCUCCCCUAGAAAGGAAGGCUAUAGAGCAAGCAGAAUGUUUAAGACACAGGCUUUCAAGUGAGGCUGACUUGGAUUAGCGGAACUAAGGAUGACGUGGCCCUGUGCAAGGAACUUAAUAUCUCUGGGCUUCAUUCUUUAUCUGUUUACCUACCCCCAGGUCCUGAAAGUACCACAGAAAUAUCUGUUUUUAUUCAGAGGAUAAUAAAACAGAAUAUUUACAUAUUGCUUCAUAUUCCCCCAGGAUAUUUUUAGAUUACCACAAUAUCCUAAGAGUUUGUUUAUGCAUGCUUUAUAGACCUGUAUCUGUGGUUAAAAAAGAUACAUAAAUACUUUAAAAUUUUAUAAUACAAGAGUAUAAGUUACCUGAUUUUUUAUGUGUUCCGCAGAUGGCUGUCUAGAGUCAACACAAACCUACCCCAAAGUUUGACCUUUGCCUUAAGUCAGUAACUGAGGAGGGCCACGGUCCUGAGUUCAGUCCAGACCCCAGGAAGAUUCAGAGCCUGCAGUUGUCCUCUGGUUUCUAAAGUAUGUUAUUGGGCUAAAGAUUUCAAGACAUUUAUCCUUCUUUGCUUUCUAUCGCAGCCAUUAAAUGUUUUAGAUAUUUUCUGCCAGAAGGCAGGAAUCAUGAAGAUAACAAAUAUUAAAGACAAAACCAAAUAACUUUUAAUGAGAAGGUCAGUCCGUGGUUUGAGUCUUUGGAAAGAAAUCAAGAACUCUGACUAUACUUGCUAUUUGACCAUUGAUUCUCUAGUGGAAAUGGGCAAAUCUUUUAUACCAGGGCAAAUUUUUCAGUAACGGGCCAGACAGCAAAUAUUUUAGGAAUUGUGGGCCAUACAGUCUCUCUCCCAACUACUUAACUCUUCAGCAUAGCAUAAAAGCAGCCAUAAACAAUACUACAACAAGUAUGGCUGCAUUCCAAUAAAACUUUAUUUACAAAAAUAGGCAGCACGCCAGAUUUGGCCCACAAGCUAUAGCUUUCUGACCCCUGCUUUGCCAAACUCAAUAACAAACAGAGAGGGAGACUCUUUUAAAAAAAUUAUAUUCAUUUGGGAGUAGCAUUGCAAUGGGAAUACGUGUGCCAUAGCAAAUUAUGAGCGUAUUCAAAGAGAUUGGGGCAAGGGGAAGUUUAUAAAGGCAAAACGAAGAGGAUUACAAUUGUUCAAAUCAAUUAUCCUUGGCUACAAGGGUGGCACAAGUCCAAGCUUGAACAGGCAGUUGCUAGACAGACAUCCUUACAGAAGUAUUUUCUGUGUAAGGUUGCAGUGGUCUUUUUGCAAAGCUAUAGUAAAUCACAGGGGUCAGUACAACCGUAGUGCAAUGGAUAAGCCUUGCCCUCGGAAAAUCUUCGUGAUCAUGGUAUCUCCCCUGCCAAAUAAAUAUUGUGACAGUUCUUAUCAGGCAUUCAUGUGUAAGAACUCUCCCUUGAUGGCCUUCCCUGGCUCCAUUUGCCAGGGUUUUAACAUAAAUUACUCCAUUUUGAUUCGGACAACUUUCAUAACUGCUUACCAUCUGUGCCUCUGUGUAUAAAAGUGGACAUACUAAAAUUUUUCCUUAGGGCUACAACUAAACAUCCAGCCUAGCCCUUAGCCAGCACCAAGGAAGAGGCCUGGGGGAUAGAGGAACAAAUAAUGAGACCAAGUCAGGCCAUCCCCCAUGGGGUGAGGCCUGCAGGUAGGUGGGCCCAGUGUGGUGUACCUCUAGCACAGUGCCUGGCACAAAAUUGCAGUUUAUUUUCUGAAUAAAUAACUCUUGGAUCAAUUGGUUGCUCUCUGGGAAUGUGACUUUGCUGUUGAGUUGUGCAGAGUACUCUCUGUCUCCAAGCCAAUCCCAGCUUCAGUAUCUCACCCCACAAUCCACAUUUCCCAGUGUCUGGAGUAACAACAAUGACCUGGGGCUGGGCUCUCAGCAAGUCAAACCCUGCCUCAACAAACCCAAACUGCUUUGGGGACCAAUGUGAUGCAAAUGUGUACUGAAUCCCCUGAAUUCCCCCUGGUGAUCCUGUCCUGUAACAGGCCCUCCCCAUCCCCUCAGGCCAGUGCAUUCAGGAAAUCAGUGACCACAGGAUGGUUUCUCAGCUGGAGGGAAGGUCAGCCUGCAUCUGAGCAUCUUAGAACAUGUUAUUUUGUUCCCACUGGUCAAUCCCGUCCAAGCUGUACACAUAGUGCCUAAGCCACGUUUGUUACUGCAGGCCUGUCUUCGGAAAGGUCACUGAACAGAAGGAGGAGGCACCUUACUCUCUUUUGUUACGUCUUCACCACUUUUGUCUAAAGGGAAGUUUAGCUGGAGGGCUGAGCACGCAGACAGGUUUCUGACUGUGCCACAUAGAUCCCACAUUGCUUCUCUGCCAUGAUUUAUCAUCUGUGACUUGACAUGUUCUGCACACACGGGCAUGUUGUACACAUUGAGACAUGCUUCCUGCAUUCAAAGAUUUUCCCAUAUUGAGGGCAUUUUCCUGGUGCAGAAUUGAAGACUGAAUUGAGGCAUUCAGAUUGACCUCAACAUCUACGGGUCUGGAGGAGGUUUGGGACGUUUCCUUUUCUUCUCUUCAGGGGCCCACUCCUGUUGUAAAGAGCAGCAGCAUUUAUAAUGAGGGCCCAGGAAAUGCGGGGGAGAGGGGAGAGCCUGCUAUCUCUGCAGUGGGUGACUGUUGUUUCCCUGAUCAACAAUGUAUCAUAUCCCAGCCUAAGCCUGCCUUUCUCCUUCCCCCUCCACAUGGGGAGGGGCCGUGGGCUCAGAGCUCACCUGGAAUGCCUCUGGUUGCUGAAGGGCUGGAUGGAGACUCUGAGACAACCUGAUGGAUCAUCUCAUAAACAGAGCCUGCAGGAAGGAAAAGAAAAUUAUGCCAGCAUAAUGCACUUACGAGAAAUAGAUACGUGCGGUGCAGGGAGAAAUGCUUUGAUAUUAAAAUUUUUGUAACUUAAAAAGGCAUGAAAAAUGAUACCGACCACUAACUAAUCAACAUUCCUUUGCGAAUACAGCUUCAGUUCCUAACCAAAAACACAUCCCUGCUAUUGUCUUGUCUGGAUCCAGAUGCAAACAUGAUUAAUUAAGUUUCUGGUGAGGAGUGGGACGAGGGCAGUGGGAACUGAUGGCUUGCUGAGGAUCCUUUUCAUAUACAGGCCUGGGGAGAAUCCCUUAGUCUGGGUGCCUAUUUCCCUCCACAUGUCAGGGCUUACCCCGUGCACUGACAGCCACGGGGGCAGUGAGUAGGCUGCAGCCAGACCCAUGGAGUGAGGCAGUGAGAGGCUGAAAGGAGAGGCUCUACAGACAGUACAGGGAGGCUCUUGGUAUCUCCCAUUGCCACUGCACAGCACAGCACGGCAGAGUAGCAAACGCAUAUGCCAUGUCUUGUUGGGAGACCUGGGCCCUGCUCCAGACUGCUACCAAGUAGUUUGGGACCUUGGAUGAGCUGCCUCAAUUUCUCCAUUUGUGAAAUUGGGAGGUGACAGCGUGCUGGCAGCCCUCGCAGCCCUCGCUCUCGGCCUUGGUGCCUGCCUACUCUGGCCGCCCUUGAGGAGCCCUUCGGCCCACGGCUGCACUGUGGGAGCCCCUUUCUGGGCUGGCCAAGGCUGGAGCCAGCUCCCUCAGCUUGCCGGGAGGUGUGGAGGGAGAAGCGCGGGCAGGAACCAGGGCUGCUCAUGGGGCUUGCCGGCCAGCGCGAGUUCUGGGUGGGCAUGGGCUCAGUGCCUGCGCACUCUGAGCGGCCGGCAGGCCUGCGAACCCCGGGCAGUGAGGGGCUUAGCUCCUGGGCCAGCAGCUGCUGUGCUCAAUUUCUCGCCGGGCCUUAGCUGCCUCCCCGCGGGGCAGGGCUCGGGACCUGCAGCCCACCAUGCCUGAGCCUCCUCCCGCCGUGGGCUCCUGUGUGGCUGGAGCCUCCCCGAGGAGCACCGCCCCCUGCUCCACCGCUCCCAGUCCCUCAACCACCCAAGGGCUGAGGAGUGCGGGCGCAUGGCACGGGACUGGCAGGCAGCUCCACCUGCGGCACCGGUACCGGAUCCACUGGGUGAAGCCAGCUGGGCUCCUGAGUCUGGUGGGGACUUGGAGAACCUUGGUGUAGACACUCUGUAUCUAGCUAAUCUAGUGGGGAUGUGGAGAACUUUUGUGUCUAGCUAAGGGAUUGUAAAUACACCAGUCGGCACUCUGUAUCUAGCUCAAGGUUUGUAAACACACCAAUCAGCACCCUGUGUCUAGCUCAGGGUUUGUGAAUGCACCAAUGGACACUCUGUAUCUGGCUACUCUGAUGGGGACUAGGAGAACCUUUGUGUCUAGCUCAGGGAUUGUAAACGCACCAAUCAGCACCCUGUCAAAACGGACCAUUCAGCUCUCUGUAAAACAGACCAAUCGGCUCUCUGUAAAAUGGACCAAUCAGCAGGAUGUGGGUGGGGCCAGAUAAGAGAAUAAAAGCAGGCUGCCCCAGCCAGCAGGCACAACCCUCUCGCCUCACCUGCCGCAGUGUGGAAGUUUUGUUCUUUGGCUCUUUGCAAAAAAUGUUGCUGCUGUUCACUCAUUGGGUCUACACUACCUUUAUGAGCUGUAACACUCACUGGGAAGGUCUGCAGCUUCACUCCUGAAGCCAGCGAGACCACGAACCCACCGGGAGGAACAAACAAUUCCAGACGCGCCGCCUUAAGAGCUGUAGCAGUCACGGCCGGGCACGGUGGCUCACGCCUGUAAUCCCAGCACUUUGGGAGGCCGAGACGGGCGGAUCACGAGGUCAGGAGAUCGAGACCAUCCUGGCUAACACGGUGAAACCCCGUCUCUACUAAAAAUACAAAAAAAAUUAGCUGGGCAUGGUGGCGCACGCCUGUAGUCCCAGCUACACGGGAGGCUGAGGCAGGAGAAUGGCGUGAACCCGGGAGGCGGAGCUUGCAGUGAGUCGAGAUCGCGCCACUGCACUUCAGCCUGGGCGACAGAGCGAAACUCCGUCUCAAAAAAAAAAAAAAAAAAGAGCUGUAGCAGUCACAGCAAAGGUAUGCAGCUUCACUCCUGAGUCAGCGAGACCAGGAACCCACCACAAGGAAGAAACUCCGAACACAUCCGAACAUCAGAAGGAACAAAUUCUGGACACGCUGCCUUUAAGAACUGUAACACUCAGCGCGAGGGUCCCCUGCUUCAUUCUUGAAGUCAGUGAGACCAAGAACCCACCAAUUCCAGACACAAAAGGAGAGGUUGGAUUAAAUGUUCCUCAAAGUCUUCCAUUUCUGGCUUUUUAUUCCAGUGCCCAAAGUCCUUCACACAAAGCA